UGCGUAUAAAUCUGUAUGGUAACUUCAUAAGCCUUAUUUCUGAAACAAUAUAAUGCCACCAAAAUAAAUCACUGAUCUAAAUUCUCAAGUUAUGCUAGUGGAAGCAGUCUGCUGUUUUUGAUUUUACAACAGGAGGGGGCAGCAGUGCUCCUCAUAAUGGACACUCUGUUCUGUUUCUCUCCUUCCUCCAACCCCCGGUACUUUAAACAAAUUCAGUCCACAGUAUAAAGCCCACUGAGAAUUCUCCUCCCAACACAGGAGCAUCACCUGUAAGACAGAGAGGGAGAUCUGUGUGUCACAAUGAGAGUUAUUAUAGCAUUAGCUGUGUUGCUGGGGACUUUAUCUCAUGGUCACUGUGUUGAACUCACACAGCCAGGCUCUAUGACUGUAAAACCAGGGCAGCCUUUAUCUAUCUCCUGUAAAGUCUCUGGGUAUUCCCUGACUGAUAGCAGCUACUGUACGUCCUGGAUCCGGCAGCCUGCAGGGAAAGCUCUGGAGUGGAUUGGAUACAUUUGCUCUGAUGGAAACACAUAUUACAAGGAUUCAUUGAAGGGCAAAUUCACCAUCUCCAGA